ACGUGUGGAGCAGAAGACAGAAGAUAAAAGAUAUGGGACAGAGAGGAGACACUCAACUGCUUCAGGUUCUUAACCAAACAAAGGAGGUUGAGAAUCUUUUGCAUUUCAAGAGGUGGACAGCUCCUGCAUUGUAGUAGAAGACAUGUAGGAUUGGGAUGGAUGCAAGUGCAGAUGCAGUCCCAUGGAGCAGCUUUGUUUCCCCAUAUGCUUUAGAUCUCUGAAGAGAGAAGGCCCUAGAAUUUUAAGCCAAACAUGGACACCCACAGAAACCAACAUGGUGCAUAACCUGCAAAUGUGGCCGAAGAGUGAAAGAAAAAUGUAUCUAAGGACAACAUGUUUAACAAGAAUGUGGAUUACUGGUAAUUGUAUGAACAGGGCCAGGGUGACCUUGGAAGCCCUUGUUAAGGAUGUGCAAUGUCCCAAGAUCAAAGCCUGAAGCCCUAGAGCAGUGCUAUGAGUAGUGCUGAUUAGGAGACCUCUCCAACCUGCAACAUCAAUGGUAAAUGUGUC